rnacentral:misc_RNA from 1 species
CAAACCGAGUUUUUACUUUUCUUCUACACCAUUUGACGGAUUCUUUCGUCUUUCCCUCUCUCUCUAGCUGUUUGGCUCGUCGCUGUUUUCUCUUUCCCUGUUCCAAUUUCCCAUCUCGGCCAUGUCAACGGCGGAGAUGGAGCCGCUGACCUCAGGAGCGAGCAAUCGCAUCAUUCCGAUUCUGAAAACCCUAAGAAAUUCCCUCGUUUUUGUCCAAACAAUCCUUCUCUCUCUCCUCCUGCUUCUCUUCCCUCGCCGUCGCUCCUCCCCGUCUAUGUCGCCGGACUCCUUGCCGCAGUCUCCGGCUAAGUCUUCGAAGCGGCGAUCAUUGUGGCGUUUAGAAGAGGAGGAUACCUUAAGAAGGAGAGCACUUGCCGAGGGAAUAGAUAUGACC